CGCUGAUAAGCCCUGCGGUUUUGUCAGAAGUAGGAAAGUAAACAGAAGAAGGUGGUGUCAAGUGAACAGCCGCUCUCUUUAGGGAACCGUGAGAGAGCGGAAGUUCAUAAUUGAGUUCCUUGGGGCCAAGCUGCAGAAACACAGCUAAACCUUGGCUUUACCGCAGCUCAGAAAUCUCCUGGGUAUUCUUGAACAUUUACACAUUCAGAUAAGCUGUCUAAUAAAUUUGUU
rnacentral:lncRNA from 1 species